UAAAUAUCCUGUUGUUUUACGGCGGGCCGCUAGUGUCUUAGAGCUACUGAAACGAACGGUUUUCUUAAUUUUCCUUUUUUAAAAUGGGAAAUAAAAUAACAACAAAUGUACUAACCAGCUAUCGACAUUUGUCGCGAGUGGAAUUAUAACUUUGAUACUGAGUAAUUCUUUACGGAGAUAUUUGCUUAAUUACAACAACGUUUCUGAAGUGGUUCUUUGUUGUACCUUGUAGCUGGGCUAAUUGUUAUUUUACAAUGUCCUUGUUUUGUCGAUAUAUAUGAUAUAUGUACAUAUGUAGCCUGUGGACACUUGAGAAAUCCGCGUCCCUGUAGUUUAUUUGCCAGCCCUGUAUGUGGCGCUGUGUUAACCACGCUCUAACUUAGACAGAUUUGAACCGGAAGUUCAGAAAACCGAACAAGAAGCCACAUUACAUGAGCAAGUAACGCAUGCGAUCUGUAAACAAACUCGAAAGGGAAACACGAAGACACGGCGGUGGCUAGCUGUAGCACACCAAGUAACUGAAUUAGCUGCUCCAACACGGUCAGAAGGAGCACGGUUUCUGCCAUUGUUGUCGUUGUGUAUUGCGGUUACAGUGGGCGGGGCUAAGUGUACAGUCUCACUCUGGUGACGUGAAUGUUGGACGUUUCAAACUUCUCUACUCUUGGAGCUUUAUCCAGUGAGGACGCAGCUCUCCGCCCCACAGUGGAACACUUUAAAGCUCAGGGUGAGCACAGGUGACCAGCUGGACCCUGCUAUUGUUACCUUUUUUUUUUUCCUCCGGUGUACACAAACCUCACUGGAAAACAACCAGAAAAAAGAGCGAGAACCAGCGUCUGUUUCAUUUUAUUGAACCGGCGUUUUAUGUUAAACAAAGUGACUGAAAUUUGAUCUGCGCUGAUGAAUCGUCCGCUCUCGGUUUCAACUGGAGGAGAAGGAAGACUUUGUCCUCCUGACCAGAAGUCCAAGUGAAGUUGAUGUGAGGCUACACUUCAGGUUCUUCCUUCUGCCGCUGAGCCCUGCGGUCACAUGACUAGGCAGUUCAACCAACAACGUGUCUUUAUUUCUUUGAGGAACAUUUCUGCGCCUCCUCCUCCUUCUCCUCAUUCAGCUGAGAGAAUCUGCCCCAGUUUUCAGGCUUCUGCUGCUUUAAAGGUGAGAGUGAUGAAGACCACGAUGAAGAUGAGUCGGCGUACUCCAGUAAACCAUCGGUGUUGUGUGAUGUGUCUGUGCACGAUGAGGGACAAUCAUCUCCUCUGGUUUCAUCACGUCUGUCCUCGGGCCACGGAGAAUCAACGUCUCUUCACCGCCUCGGCUGACGGUGGAUCCAACAGCCUGGAUGUGUGGGGGUGUCGGCAGGAACGGGUCGACACCUGUCCAACACCUGACACUUCUCCUUUCAAAUCAGAUGAUCAAAACAAUAAUGAGGUUACCCUAACCUUUACUAACAGGAAACUCUCCCAGUUCAUGUCAGCUUUUCCUCUGUGUGUGUGUGUGUGUGUGUGUGUGUGUGUAGUGCAGCAGCUAUUGUAGGAUAACAAAAAAAUAUUUUGAAAAGAAACCCAGAAAUCCCUGAAGAUCUGAGAGCGUAGUUAAAAAAAAAAGGAUGAGCUUU